UACAGAGGGUGCAAGCGUUGCUCGGAAUUAUUGGGCGUAAAGGGUAGGUAGGUGGUCUCAUUUGUCAGGGGUGAAAGCCUUGGGCUUAACCCAAGAAGUGCCUUUGAAACGGUGAGACUGGAGUCCUGGAGAGGGUCGUGGAAUUCCCGGUGUAGCGGUGAAAUGCGUAGAGAUCGGGAGGAACACCAGAGGCGAAGGCGGCGACCUGGACAGGUACUGACACUCAACUACGAAAGCGUGGGGAGCAAACAGG
rnacentral:rRNA from 1 species